UGGGGAAUAUUGGACAAUGGGCGCAAGCCUGAUCCAGCCAUGCCGCGUGAGUGAUGAAGGCCCUAGGGUUGUUAAGCUCUUUCACCGGUGAAGAUAAUGACGGUAACCGGAGAAGAAGCCCCGGCUAACUUCGUGCCAGCAGCCGCGGUAAUACGAAGGGGGCUAGCGUUGUUCGGAUUUACUGGGCGUAAAGCGCACGUAGGCGGACUAUUAAGUCAGGGGUGAAAUCCCGGGGCUCAACCCCGGAACUGCCUUUGAUACUGGUAGUCUUGAGUUCGAGAGAGGUGAGUGGAAUUCCGAGUGUAGAGGUGAAAUUCGUAGAUAUUCGGAGGAACACCAGUGGCGAAGGCGGCUCACUGGCUCGAUACUGACGCUGAGGUGCGAAAGCGUGGGGAGCAAACAGG
rnacentral:rRNA from 1 species